AGUGAACGCUGGCGGUAGGCCUAACACAUGCAAGUCGAACGGCAGCACAGUAAGAGCUUGCUCUUACGGGUGGCGAGUGGCGGACGGGUGAGGAAUACAUCGGAAUCUACUUUUUCGUGGGGGAUAACGUAGGGAAACUUACGCUAAUACCGCAUACGACCUACGGGUGAAAGCAGGGGAUCUUCGGGCCUUGCGCGAUUGAAUGAGCCGAUGUCGGAUUAGCUAGUUGGCGGGGUAAAGGCCCACCAAGGCGACGAUCCGUAGCUGGGCUGAGGGGAUGAUCAGCCACACCGGAACUUGAACACGGUCCAGACUCCUUAGGGAGGCAGCAGUGGGGAAUAUUGGACAAUGGGCGCAAGCCUGAUCCAGCCAUACCGCGUGGGUGAAGAAGGCCUUCGGGUUGUAAAGCCCUUUUGUUGGGAAAGAAAAGCAGCAGGUUAAUACCCCGCUGUUCUGACGGUACCCAAAGAAUAAGCACCGGCUAACUUCGUG
rnacentral:rRNA from 1 species